CCAGGAUCUGCCGACCUUAAGAACCUCAAAAGGCACAAUCUCUUUCCUUUUCCUACUGGGUGCUUGAUAUAUUUCAGAUGCAGCGAAAACAGAGAGGGCAUAAACCUAGAGCUAGAGCCAGAAUCUACCAAAAUGAUGAAUACUGAGGAAUGAGAACCUGUUGAGUGUUGAAAACUUGAAUUCUUGCCAAGAGGCGUCGUCGAGGACGGAAAGGCGUCGCAGUCGUAGAAUCGAAGAAGUGAGGUGAGAAAUUCAGAACCCUAACAGGCUUAUUAGUAGUGGGUUUUUACUUUUUGUAUACUAGUUUUUAUUAUUUGAUUUUUACCUAAAUAUGCCAUAUAUCAAACCUUAUUACCAUAUUGUGACUUGUUUGGUUAUUACCCGCAUAUUCCAUGUUUUCGUUACCAAAAAUGUACCAAACCAUAUCUGGCUGAUUUUAUAGCCUAAAAUAGCGCCAGAUUUUUGAAUACUGAGGAAUCAAAUCACCGAAAAUAGAAUAAAAAUAUAGGCAAACGUGGAUCUGAAAAAAUCACCUUCAAAUCAUGUCAAAAAUUUGUAGAAACUAAGCUUAUUUGAACGACAAACGCAUAUAUUUCCAGCUCAAUACAACUUCACUGGAGACAAACACUUCGCCUAUAGAUUGUAUCUAUUCAUUAAAAGUCAAAAAAUCGAAUACUUUCUAAUUUUUUCACAGAUCUACACAUAAUAGAACCAAAAAAUCGAGCUGUCUAAUAGUAUUUACGGUGCUAAAAAAUAAAACAAACUACACGUAAAGCAAUUUUUUCCAAGACAAAAUAAUGUGUGAAAUCUCAACAACAUAAGCAAAACGUAAUUAAUCUACAGGAAAAAGAGAGAUAGAGAGAUCUUUACCUAAGGAGCUGUACGAAAGAGUAUUGGUUAGUUUGAAUAUGCCUUCUCUAGGAAUAUUAAUCUACAGGAAAAAGAGAGAUAGAGAGAUCUUUACCUAAGGAGCUGUACGAAAGAGUAUUGGUUAGUUUGAAUAUGCCUUCUCUUUAGUUCCUCACGAGCAUGGGAAAGCUCUCGAGGUGUAUCUAUGAU
rnacentral:lncRNA from 1 species